rnacentral:rRNA from 1 species
UACGAAGGAUUCGAGCGUUAUCCGGAUUUAUUGGGUUUAAAGGGUGCGUAGGUGGACUAAUAAGUCAGUGGUGAAAGCCCGGAGCUCAACUCCGGAACUGCCAUUGAUACUGUUAGUCUUGAGUACAGUUGAGGUGGGCGGAAUGUGUCAUGUAGCGGUGAAAUGCUUAGAUAUGACACAGAACACCGAUUGCGAAGGCAGCUCACUAAACUGUAACUGACGCUGAGGCACGAAAGCGUGGGGAGCAAACAGG